rnacentral:rRNA from 1 species
UACGGAGGAUGCAAGCGUUAUCCGGAUUUAUUGGGUUUAAAGGGUGCGUAGGCUGUGCCGCAAGUCAGGGGUGAAAGCCCGGCGCUUAACGCCGGAACUGCCUUUGAUACUGCGGUGCUGGAGUUCGGAUGCCGUGGGAGGAAUGGGCAGUGUAGCGGUGAAAUGCUUAGAUAUUGCCCAGAACACCGAUUGCGAAGGCAUCUCACGAAUCCGCGACUGACGCUGAGGCACGAAAGCGUGGGGAUCAAAC